CAAUACCAAUAGGGGUGCCUAUCUGCCUUAGGCAGAUUAAAUUCGGGCUGAGAUCAUACCCUCUGAACCUGAUCCGGGUAAUGCCGGUUAGGGAAAAGAGUAGUUACAUCC
rnacentral:ncRNA from 2 species